CAUUUGGUUUCAGACACUUGCAGCAAGCACAGUCAUCGAGGCAGGAGCGACAGACAGAUUCCAUAAUCAUUGACUUGGACAGAGAUAUUGUCAGCAGAUCUAGAGAUCGGGAGAAGAAGAAAAUCGUGGGAAUGCUCCUUGAUCAAGCUAGCAACAUGGAUCUCAUGGUUCUUCCAAUUGUUGGGAUGGGUGGGAUGGGCAAGACCACCUUUGUGCAACUCAUUUACAAUGACCCCGCAAUCGAGAAGCACUUUGAGCUUCGGAGGUGGUGCUGCGUGUCGGAUGAUUUCGAUGUCAGUACCAUUGCAAGCAACAUCUGCCAGACCAAUGAGAAAGGUCGUGAAAAAUCAUUGCAGGAGCUCCAGAGUAUAAUAAGUGGAAAAAGGUACCUCAUUGUGUUAGAUGAUGUAUGGAAUCGGGAUGCUGAUAAGUGGGGAAAACUAAAGACCUGCCUUAAGCAAGGUGGCAAGGGCAGUGUAGU
rnacentral:lncRNA from 1 species